rnacentral:rRNA from 1 species
CUAGCCCUGAAAAUGGAUGGCGCUGUAGCGUCGUGCCUAUACUCGGCCGUCAACGGCACAGGGGGCGGCACCCUCGCGGGUGCCGGGCCGUUAUGCCUUGACGAGUAGGAGGGUCGCGGCGGUGUGCGCAGAAGGGUCUGGGCGUGAGCCUGCCUGGAGCCACCGUCGGCGCAGAUCUUGGUGGUAGUAGCAAAUACUCCAGCGAGGACCUGGAGGACUGACGUGGAGAAGGGUUUCUUGUGAACAGCUGUUGCACAAGAGUCAGUCGAUCCUAAGCCCUAGGAGAAAUCCUAUGUCGAUGGGAAGCCGUUGAAGAUGGAAGGCGCUAUUUGCGCUCUUGUCAUUUGAAGGCGACCCACGGGGCGAAAGGGAAUCCGGUUCCUAUUCCGGAACCCGGCUGCGGAACCGUUCAUAAGCGGGCCCUCAUCCGAGAGCUCGACGGGGCAACCCGAAGAGACCCGGAGACGCCGGCGGGAGGUCCGGAGAGAGUUUUCUUUUCUCUAUAAGCGUUCGAGUUCCCUGGAAGCCUAUAGCAGGGAGAUAGGGUUUGGAACGCGAAGAGCACCGCAGUUGCGGCGGUGUCCGGAUCUUCCCCUCGGACCUUGAAAAUCCGGGAGAGGGCUACGCGGAAUGUCCGCGCCGGAUCGUACCCAUAUCCGCAGCAGGUCUCCAAGGUUAAGAGCCUCUAGUCGAUAGAAUAAUGUAGUAAGGGAAGUC